rnacentral:rRNA from 1 species
GGCCUAACACAUGCAAGUCGAACGCGAAAGGAACCUUCGGGUUCUGAGUAAAGUGGCGCACGGGUGAGUAACACGUGGAUAACCUACCCCAGGGUCAGGGAUAACACUUCGAAAGAGGUGCUAAUACCGGAUAAGCUCACAUUAUCUUCGGAUGAAGUGAGAAAAGAUUUAUUGCCUUGGGAUGGGUCCGCGGUCCAUUAGCUAGUUGGUGGGGUAAUGGCCUACCAAGGCUUCGAUGCGUAGCUGGUCUGAGAGGAUGAUCAGCCACACUGGGACUGAGACACGGCCCAGACUCCUACGGGAGGCAGCAGUGGGGAAUAUUGGACAAUGGGCGCAAGCCUGAUCCAGCCAUGCCGCGUGAGUGAUGAAGGCCCUAGGGUUGUAAAGCUCUUUCAGCGAGGAGGAUAAUGACGUUACUCGCAGAAGAAGCCCCGGCUAACUUCGUGCCAGCAGCCGCGGUAAUACGAAGGGGGCUAGCGUUGUUCGGAAUCACUGGGCGUAAAGCGCACGUAGGCGGACUGAUCAGUCAGGGGUGAAAUCCCGGGGCUCAACCCCGGAACUGCCUUUGAUACUGUCAGUCUUGAGUCCGAGAGAGGUGAGUGGGAACUCCGAGUGUAGAGGUGAAAUUCGUAGAUAUUCGGAAGAACACCAGUGGCGAAGGCGGCUCACUGGCUCGGUACUGAC